GUACACUACAGUAAACUACCCCACACUAGAGUACACUACAGUAAACUACACUACAGUAAACUACAGUACCUUGAUGACAUUGAAGUUAAACAAUGUGCCAUAUGUAGAUAAUAUGGAUUAGUGAGAUUUGUGUGCACACAAGAAGGUCAGAAAUGUUGGAUGUCUAGGUUAGGUGGAGAUUGAGGUCACCUGUGAGAGGAUAAGAACUCGCCAUUGUCUCCAGAAAGCCGGUCAGUCGGCUAGCAGCGAACAGGAUACCGGGUUGUGGAGAAGUAGACGACUUAGUGUGACGCUUCAGAGAUGCAUCCUCUCAUGGUGGCCAUCAUAACAACCAACACGUCGCUGUCGGUGAUUCUGUGGAACUUCCUGCUGUCCCAGGUGUUCUGCAAGAAGAUUAAAGACGCACCCCGAUCUGAGGAGGACGUACCUGUCUGAACUGGUUACUCGGCUCAGACCCGGACGAGAAUGAGGAGGAUGAGGAGGAGGUGGAGGCGUCCGGACAGGAAGACAGAGCAGGAGAGAAGAGGAACAAACAGAUAGACAACCACAGAGCCACCAGAGGAGACGACAACGAUCCAGGAUUUAAACUUUCAGUUAUAAGUUAAUGGCAGUAUUUUAUUUUACACAGUUUCCCAUUUCUCCUGCUGAUCAGUCUGUUCAGUUUCAUCAUCUUUAUUUUACUGAAUAAAACGUCACCAUAAACACCGUGGCAACCUUUAUAGCUAGAGUCUAUCAGCACUACAUGCUAAUAUCUUUAAAAAUGGUAGAUUAGCUACGUUUCAGAGCAAAUCUUUUGCUCUUUACAGCCAUGUUGUGUUAGUCUCUGGGACAGGAUUAAGUCUAGACUCGUGAGAAGUCAUUUUAAUAGUAAUGUUCUGGGAAUCGUUUAAUAAUACACUAACACUAACCCUAGCCGAUCGGAUCAAAUGUUUUGUGGACGAUAUACAACGUAAAUAGAAAAUGGGAAGCGCUGUUUUAUAGCCGAUCUUUUUUUUUUAUUUGAUUUUAUUUGAUUGUAGAUCAUCUUAAAGACAGGCCCAUUCUAGUCGUCCAUUUUGUACAUUUCGGUGUAUUUCUUUAUUUAUUUUCCUCUAGAACAUGACGGUUUGGUUACUUACUGUGGUUUCCAACAAGGCUGCUGUCCCAUCAUUUCUCUCUAAUGCAUGUAAUAAACUCACAGCUUUUCCUCUGA